rnacentral:SRP_RNA from 1 species
CGCACUAGCCGGGGAGUUAGCGGUGCCCUGCGGUGAAAGCCGUUCCUGCAAUCCGCUCUAGCAGGGGUGAGAUACGAAACUCGAGGGCCUUUACGUUGCAGAUUACGGCCUUUUCGUGAGGUAUUGUGAGUUGGUCCUAUUGGGCGUGCGCGCCGUGAACCAUGUCAGGCGGGGAACCGAGCAGCAUUAAGCGGUUUGCGUUGCGUGCCGUAGGGCGCCGGCUUAUAGCCAAACGGAUCGGUACGCCUGUGACCGCGGUUCA